rnacentral:lncRNA from 1 species
AUGGGAAUGGGGUUGGAUCCAUUGGGAAUGGGAAUGGAUUUAAUGGGAAUGGAGGGAUAAAUCCAUGGGAAUGAAGGAGUUGGAUCCAUUGGGAAUGGAGAGAUGGAUCCAUGGGAAUGGGUUUGGAUCUGUGGGAAUGGAGGGGUUGGAUCUGUUUGGAAUUGGGGUUAGAUCCAUGGGAAUGGAGGGGGUGGAUUUGAUGGGAAUGGAGGGGUUGGAUCCAUGGGAAUGGAGGGGGUGGAACCAGUUCCAGGGGGAGAUGACGGGGAUCCGGGAUUGGGGAAUUCCAGACCUCCCAGUGCCUCUGGAGUUCCCAGGGAAGCCGGGGCUGCCCCCGGAUCCCCGGGAGUGUCCAAGGAUGGAUUUGGAGCUCCCUGGGAUCAAGGGAGGGCACAGGGUUGGAUUGGGAUGGGACUGAAAUCCAUGAAUCCCAUCCGGAACAUUCCAUGAUUGUGGCUGUGCCCCCAUUCCCAUUGCCAUCCCCAUUCCCAUGGAUCCCACCAUUCCCAUUCCCACAGAUCCCAUUCUCAUUAAUCCCAUUCCCAUGGAUCCCACAGCUCCUAUUCCCACAGAUCCCAUUCCCAUGGAUCCAAUCCCAUUGCCAUUCCCACAGUUCCCAUUCCCAUUUUCAAGGCUCCCAUACCCAUUCCCACAAGUCCCAUGGUUCCCAUUCCCACAAAUCCCAUGGUUCCCAUUCCCACAGCUCCCAUUCCCACAAAUCCCAUUCUCACGUAUCCCAUCCCCAUGGAUCCCAUUGCCAUUCCCAUUCCCACGGAUCCCAUUCCCACUGAUCCCGUGGUUCCCAUUCCCACAUAUCCAAUGGUUCCCAUUCCAUGGCUCCCAUUCCCAAUCCAUUCCCACAGAUCCCAUGAAUCCCGUGGCUCCCAUUCCUAUGGAUCCCAUUGCAAUUCCCACAGAUCCCACGGAUCCCAUUCCCAGAGCUGCCAUUCCCACUGAUCUCAUGGUUCCCAUUCCCCACUGAUUCCAUGGAUCCCAUUCCCAUGGCUCCCACUCCCACUGAUCCCACAGAUCCUAUUCCCACAAAUCCCAUUCCCAUGGCUCCUAUUCCCACUGAUCCCAAUGCUCCCAUUCCCACAAAUCCCAUGGCUCCCAUUCCUAGGGAUCCCAUCCCAAUCCCAAGGAUCCCAUUCCCACCCCCAUUCCAAUUGUUCAGGGAUCCAAUUCCCAUGGCUCCCAUUCCCAUGCAUCCUAUGGAUCCCAUUCCCAGGGAUCCCAUGAUCCCAUUCCCAUUCCCAUGGCUCCCAUUCCCAUGGAUCCCAUUCCCAUUCCCAUGGCUCCCAUUCCUAUGGAUCCCAUCCCAUUCCCAUGGAUCCCAUUCCCACGGAUCCCAUUCCCAUUCUUAUGGCUCUCAUUCCCAUGGCUCCCAUUUCCAUUCCCAUGGAUCCCAUCCCAUUCCCAUGGCUCCUAUUCCCACGGAUCCCAUGGCUCCCAUUCCCAUGGAUCCUAUGGAUCCCAUUCCCAUUGAUCCCAUCCCAUUCCCAGGGAUCCCAUUCCCACGGAUCCCAUGGCUCCCGUUCCCGCAGAUCCCAUUUUCAUCCCCAUGGAUCUCAUCCUACUCCCAUGGAUCCCAUUCCCAUGACUCCCGUUCCAAUGGGUUUCAUCUCCAUUCCCAUUGGGAUGGGAUUCCCGGGAAUGUGGGGUUCCCAGGAAUGCGGGGUCCCUGGGAAUGUGGGAGUCCCAUCCCCAUGGAUCUCAUCCUAUUCCCAUGGAUCCCAUUCCCAUGGAUUUCUGUGAGCGAUCUCAAUCCCAAUCCCAAUCCCGUUCCUGAUAUCCCUUUGAUCCUGUUGAUCCCACUGCAGUGAGCAAUCCCAUUCCCGAUCCCAAUAUCCCUCUGAUCCGGUUGCUCCUGCUGCAGUGAGUGAUCCCAUUCCCGAUCCCAUUCCUGAUCCUAAUAUCCCUCUGAUCCAGUUCAUCCCUUUCAUCCCUGCCCCUGGACAAGAACCUGACCAGUGGGACACCGGGAAUGACCGGGAACGGGGGACUCCCAUCCCAUGGAUCCCAUUCCCAACAUCCCUUUGAUCCCUUGAUCCCGUUGUAGUGAGCAAUCCCCUUCCCAAUCCAUUCCCGUUCCCGAUAUCCCGUUAUCCCGCUGCAGUGAGUGAUCCCAUUCCCACUCCUGUCCCUGAUAUCCCGUUAUCCCGCUGCAGUGAGCGAUCCCAAUCCCAAUAUCCCUGUGAUCCCAAUAUCCCGCCAUCCCUCUGCUCCCGCUGCAGAGAGCAACCUGGAUCCCAACAUCCGGAUCUCAAUAUCCCUUUGAUCCCAUCAUUCCCAAUUUGUUCCCUCCGCUCCGUCGGCAGUGAGCGAUCCCGAUCACAUUCCCAAUCCCAUUCCUGAUAUCCCUUUGAUCCCAAUCCCAAUAUCCCAAUCCCGAUAUCCCAUUGAUCCCGAUUUGUCCCUGUUAUCCCUGUGCAGUGAGAAACCCGUCCCUGUGCUACGUAGGCGAUCCCGAUCCCAACAUCCCAUUGAUCCCAUUAUUCCCGAGAUGUUCCCAUUAUCCCAUGGCAGUGAGUGACCCCUCCCUGUGCUACGUGGGCACGGAGCCCCAUUGAUCCCAUUGAUCCCAUUGAUCCCGUUGAUCCCGUUGAUCCCAUAAUUCCCAAUAUCCCGUUAUCCCUGUGCAGUGAGUGAUCCCUCCCUGUGCUGCGGGGGCACGGAGCCCCAUUGAUCCCGUUAUUCCCAAUAUCCCAUUAUUCCCGAUUUAUUCCCAUUAUUCCCUCAGCAGUGAGUGACCCAUCCCUGUGCUACGUGGGCACGGAGCGCCAUUGAUCCCAUUGAUCCCGUUAUUCCUGAUUUAUUCCUGUUUUUCCCUCGGCAGUG